UUUCCGUAGGUGAACCUGCGGAAGGAUCAUUAUUGAAUAAACCUGAUGUGGCUGUUAGCUGGCUUUUCGAAGCAUGUGCUCGUCCGUCAUCUUUAUCUCUCCACCUGUGCACAUUUUGUAGUCUUGGAUAACUCUCGAGGCAACUCGGAUUUUAGAAUCGCCGUGCUGCACAAGUCGGCUUUCCUUUCAUUUCCAAGACUAUGUUUUUAUAUACACCAAAGUAUGUUCAAAGAAUGUCAUCAAUGGGAACUUGUUUCCUAUAAAAUUAUACAACUUUCAGCAACGGAUCUCUUGGCUCUC
rnacentral:misc_RNA from 1 species